rnacentral:tmRNA from 1 species
GGGGGCGAUAAGGGUUCGACGGGGAUAUUUUGAUCUCGAUGCUGCAUGCCGGGGAGCCUCACCUACCCGUUAAUCAUGGUGGGAAUAAACACAAGCGCAGAAAAUUACGACUACGCUCUAGCCGCUUAAGUCGGCUAGUGUCCGCUCGGUUCCGCUCCUGCCGGGGCCGAAACGGGCAUGACCAAUGCGGGAUAAGCCGAUCAUAACUUCCGGGGUGAUCGGACGAAAAUAAACGGAAUCCCCUCAUAAAGACCCCGCCGUUGGGGGCUUGUGAGGUGGUACAAAACGACGGCUGAGCAUGGAGUAUGUAUCGGGUGAAGAUCUUCGGACGCGGGUUCGAUUCCCGCCGCCUCCACCA